rnacentral:rRNA from 1 species
AACAAACGCUGGCGGCGGGCCUAACACAUGCAAGUCGCACGAGAAAACUCUAGCUUGCUAGGGUGAGUAAAGUGGCGCACGGGUGAGUAACGCGUGGCUAAUCUACCUUUGGGUUUGGGAUAACGUACCGAAAGGUACGCUAAUACUGAAUAUGACCACAGCGUCUGCGGACGCAGAGGUUAAAGGGGGCCUCUACAUGUAAGCUCCCACCCAUUGACGAGGCCGCGUCCCAUUGGCUUGUUGGUGAGGUAACGGCACACCAAGGCCACGAUGGGUAGCUGAUCUGCGAGGAUGAUCAGCCACACUGGAACUGGAACACGGUCCAGACUCCUACGGGAGGCAGCAGUGAGGAAUCGUGCGCAAUGGGGGAAACCCUGACGCAGCCACGCCGCGUGGGUGAAGAAGGUCUUCGGAUCGUAAAGCCCUGUCAGGUGAGAAGAACCGCAGUUGGGUGAAUAAGCCGACUGCCUGACGGUAUCACCAAAGGAAGCACCGGCUAACUCCGUGCCAGCCGCCGCGGUAACAC